UUGCUGGUUCACCCCAUUGUUUUUGUUUUGUAUGUAAAAUUGAGCGGAUCAUGUUUGCUGAAACACAGCUAUUAUCACACGUUAAGUCUCAAUUUUAAACAACAACUUUUAUGUAAACGUAAUCCAAUAUAAUAUGCUAGGAUAGUGAUGCGCUUGCGUUAUGUUGAAGUUGGUAAAUAUAGACCUUGUAAGUGAUACUCAACUCAUGAAAAUACAAGUAGUGUAUCGACGUUGUACGACCAGCAUCGAUGUUCAAUUAGGAGCAUAGAUAAAAGAACAUACUUUCGUUCAAACGGAAUGCUCUGGAUACCUGACGAAUUUCGGUUGUAUAUAUCCCUAACCACGCUCACGGACCUCUACGCGAACAAACCUCUAUUGUCCGUGGAACCCAUAUGAAUUUUAAUUUCAACAAAAAACAAAAAGAAAACUAAUACUUCAACGGUCUUUAAAUCAAUGAAUUCGGUGGUAUUAAUAUUAAAGAUUAAUAUUCAAUACACAGAAUUGCCUAACAGUUUGAAACGAUAUCAGCACCGUUUUAAGAGUAUGCCUAAUAUAGGUUCCGAAAUGAUAUUGAAGGAUAUUGCAGAUCCAAUGAAUCAGCCAUACGAGUAUCACUCUAAAGAUCAAUUGGUUCUGGUACUUGACAUCUAUGUGACAUCCAGAUUAAUAUGCUCAAAAGUCGACAAAAAAAAAAAGAAAUUUACUCAACCUACCAAGAGAUCACAUAUUUAAGACCGCGAUGAUGAGAUCGCUCUAACGUAUCAACGCAGGAACCUAUGCGACCACUUGACCGGUUAAAACAACAACAAUUCUAACCAAACUUGUCUAAAUAAUAUGUCAAUAAAAUUAUUUUAGAG